GCGCUGGUGUAGCUCAGUGGUUACUUCCUACAACAAAUCCUACGGGUUUGCUGUUCAAAGCUUUCGGGAUUGAACCCCGGUCGCCAUCCAGUGUUUUU
rnacentral:vault_RNA from 10 species